rnacentral:rRNA from 1 species
UACGGGGGGGAGCAAGCGUUGUUCGGAUUUACUGGGCGUAAAGGGCGCGUAGGCGGCGCGGUAAGUCGGGUGUGAAAUCUCGGAGCUUAACUCCGAAACUGCAUUCGAUACUGCCGUGCUUGAGGACUGGAGAGGAGACUGGAAUUCCUGGUGUAGCGGUGAAAUGCGCAGAUAUCAGGAGGAACACCGGUGGCGAAGGCGGGUCUCUGGGCCGAUACUGACGCUGAGGAGCGAAAGCGUGGGGAGCGAACAGG